AACAAAGAGGUAUAUUGCCCUUCAGGAAAUGUGUGUCACUUAGGAAUAAUUAGGCUGACAUGUGUUUUCUUGAUGCAAAUG
rnacentral:pre_miRNA from 12 species